rnacentral:rRNA from 1 species
AUGAACGCUGGCGGCGUGCUUAAGACAUGCAAGUCGAACGCAGAAUGGUAGCAAUACGGUUCUGAGUGGCGAAUGGGUGCGUAACACGUAGGUGACCUGCCCAGAAGUGUGGAAUAACAGUCCGAAAGGACUGCUAAUACCGCAUGUGGCGCGCGGGGUUAGAGGCCCGCACGCGAAAGGUCUUCGGAUCGCUUCUGGAGGGGCCUGCGGCCCAUCAGUUAGUUGGUAGGGUAACGGCCUACCAAGACUACGACGGGUAGGGGACCUCAGAGGGUGGCCCCCCACACUGGCACUGACACACGGGCCAGACUCCUACGGGAGGCAGCAGUCGGGAAUAUUGCCCAAUGGUCGCAAGACUGAGGCAGCAACGCCGCGUGCGCGAUGAAGGCCUUCGGGUCGUAAAGCGCUUUUCAGUGGGAUGAGGAAGGACAGUACCACUGGAAUAAGGUACGGCUAACUACGU